AGUGAACGCUGGCGGCAGGCCUAACACAUGCAAGUCGAGCGGCAGCGCGGGGCGAACCCUGGCGGCGAGCGGCGGACGGGUGAGGAAUGCAUCGGAAUCUACCUCGUUGUGGGGGAGUAACGUAGGGAAACUUACGCUAAUACCGCAUACGACCUACGGGUGAAAGUGGGGGACCUUCGGCCUCACGCGAUGAGAUGAGCCGAUGCCGGAUUAGCUAGUUGGCGGGGUAAAGGCCCACCAAGGCGACGAUCCGUAGCUGGUCUGAGAGGAUGAUCAGCCACACUGGAACUGAGACACGGUCCAGACUCCUACGGGAGGCAGCAGUGGGGAAUAUUGGACAAUGGGCGCAAGCCUGAUCCAGCCAUGCCGCGUGUGUGAAGAAGGCC
rnacentral:rRNA from 1 species